rnacentral:rRNA from 1 species
AUUGAACGCUGGCGGCAGGCUUAACACAUGCAAGUCGAGCGAGCGGCGGACGGGUGAGAAAUGUAUGGGAAACUGCAUGAUGGAGGGGGAAAACUACUGGAAACGGAAGCUAAUACCGCAUACCCUAAGAUGUGCCAAGAUGGGAAUGGCGAGUAGGUGUGGUAAGGGCGUACCGAGGCGCCGAUCCCUAGCUGGUCUGAGAGGAUUACCAGCCACACUGGACCUGAGACACGGUCCAGAUUCCUACGUGAGGCAGCAGUGGGGAAUAUUGCACAAUGGGCGCAAGCCUGAUGCAGCCAUGCCGCGUGUGUGAAGAAGGCCUUCGGUUUGUAAAGCACUUUCAGCGAGGAGGCGUUACUCGCAGAAGAAGCACCGGCUAACUCCGUGCCAGCCGCCGCGGUAAUAC